GGACCCGUAGCUCAAAGGAUAGAGCGCCGAAUUGCUACCUCGGGUGUUGCAGGUUCGAGUCCUGCCGGGUCCACCA
rnacentral:tRNA from 1 species